rnacentral:rRNA from 1 species
CCUACGGGUGGCAGCAGUGGGGAAUAUUGCACAAUGGGGGGAACCCUGAUGCAGCCACGCCGCGUGGGUGAAGAAGUACUCCGGUAUGUAAAGCCCUUUCAGCAGUGAAGCAAAUGACGGUACCUGAUCAAGAAGCCCCGGCCAACUACGUGCCAGCAGCCGCGGUAAUACGAAGGGGGCAAGCGUUAUCCGGAUUUACUGGGCGUAAAGGGAGCGUAGGCGGCAAGGCAAGUCUGGAGGGAAAGCCCGUGGCCCAACCACGGGACUGCUUUGUAAACUGUGUUGCUGGAGUGCAGGAGGGGUAAGCGGAAUUCGUAGUGUAGCGGGGAAAUGCGUAGAUAUUAGGAGGAACACCGGUGGCGAAGGCGGCUUACUGGACUGUAACUGACGUUGAGGCUCGAAGGCGUGGGGAGCAAACAGGAUUAGAUACCCGAGUAGUC